GUCACGAAGAGGCUGCUAGAGCAGCGAGAUGGCAGUACUGCGAAAUGCGACCUGGCUCGUUGUUAGGGUAGCACGAACGCUAUGCAGGCAGAUGACUAUCGCCAAACGGACGUCCUGAUCAGGCUCGUCUACCGGGCUGCGACUCGCAAGCAACGGGAACCCAGAAACGCGCUGGUAGAACUGGCCUCGCCUCGUCACGAACGCGUAAAACAGCACGAACGAAUACGAGUGAAAGCCCACAUGUCGUCUGGAAGAUCAACAGGGCUUACACUUUGUCAGGAGCCGAUAAUCGUGGCAUAGCUGGGAUCCCCCGGUUCCUGUGAAAGAUCCUAGACUCCGAGAGACGCACGGCUUUGCAGAGAAUGUGCGUAGUGAGACGUGAGACGCGGUUCCGGCGUGCGAGUAGCGGCGUUUGUCGACCUCAAACGCCUUAUCCGGGAUGAGCGUGCGUAUGCGCAGAAACAUGUCUGUGAAUCAAACAGUGUCCCAUGUCCGUAUGGAGUAAAUGCAUACCCACUCAUAGAAGCCUCCCGGUCUUUUUUGACCGGCCGCAUACGAUCUGUUUCAGUUUAUCCGGGCGCUGUCCGAGCGCGAGAGACUGCCCCACGAAGGCAGAACGCCGCAUCUCCUCGGGCCACGUCUUCAACGUCGCACAUUGUCUGAUACUGAUGGCGGCAUUGAAGCCUCGGUUCACGAACUCCAUGCGUUCAUUGCCUCGGAUGAGACGCAACCACGCAAGAAUUGCGAGAACUCGAGCUCUCUAUGCCAUUUGGUGCUGUGCCAGCUUUCCGUGCUUUGCUAUCGCCGAGGCGCUCUGCUGGCCUUUCUCAAUCUCGAUCUUCUGAAGUGUGUGCAUCCCAGUUCAUCCCCUGGAUUUUGAAAAUGGCCGCAGUGCUUUAUGCACUCGGAAGAGGACACUCCGUGAGAAGGAAGGACUUGCACAAGAAAGACGUUAUGUGCCCCUUUUUCACCAUUAGCUGCAAGCUGCAGCGAUUCUUCCGAUGCAGCGAUCAUUAUGUUCCACGAUAGAACACACCUCUUCGAUGGGACUCAACUACGGAGCGUACGAAGGAAUGAAAAGCAGCCCUUCACUGGUAGAAUCCGCAAAAGCACAAACGCGAACGGUAAUGGUGAAAUGCCACGUUGUACAGUGGAAGGACGUCGAGAAACGUCAGGGGAAAAGUCUUCAUUUAUUCGACAAAGUGAUUGGUGCAGUUGUGUGAGCAUUUUCUACGAAAAAUCUGAAAACGCCAAACGAUUCCACAGCAGUCAGAACAGAUGAUGAUGCGGUCAUUCUCUUCGAGAUCGAUCGUACAUACAACGGGCCCCCUGCGCCGCGAAUACCCAUAAACUCUCCGACUUUU